GCUGGGCUCCUCCUGGGGGCUGGGGCCAUGUUCUGUGUCUUUCAGAGAUGUUGACUCACUUAAAAGAAGAGCGAGGAGGAUGUUUGCAGUAUUGCUCCUAUCAGCCCAGGGGAGCUCACAAGACUCACCCAGUGGAAAUUGCUGCUGUCUGCCUGUCAGAGGACAUGCCCCAAAGUGGCAAGAUCAUUUGGAUGCUCCUCUGCCACAAGCUGCUGCAGUUGAGAGCUUCCUAGCUGGUGUUGUCUUGCCUUUUGCCUUGCCCUGUUUGCAUGAACAGCAUCUCUAACUGAAGAAGAUAUUGGACAAAAGAACAUCAAGACCCUCAGCAACAAUUAAAAAAAUCAUUAAGCUACAAUAGCCCAGUCAUCACUGGGUAAUUAUUAAGCUGUAAGAAUUGCUAAUUGUCUUAUUAGUAUUGAACAAUUAUGCAAAUAAUGGAAAACAUACUAUAAGAGUAAUAAAAUUACCUCUUUUUUUAAUCAAUAAUGAGAUUUAAAAACUAAGGCAAUGCUUGCAGAUUUGCUCUCUCUGGAGUUUAUAGGGGAUGUCUUUGGAGAGGAGUGAGACUGCUAAUGGCACUCUGCACAGGGUGAGUAGCACGUUUUGAACCACAUCUACAGCCACAGCACCAGGCUGUGUCCCCUGCUCUGCACCCACACCGGCAGCCCAGCAGCAGCCUAGGGACACGCAGGGGCCAAGGGCACAUGGUGCUCUCAGAGCUAGAGCAGGACUGGAUAGAAAGGCUGAAUUUUGCGUUUUCGCAGGCUUCCUACAGCACGCCUGGCUUUCUGCAAUCUGUUCUCCCCUGGAUAAGAUGUGGGGCUUCAGGUUUGGUCUGGGUGGAAGUAAGGC
ensembl:lncRNA